rnacentral:snRNA from 1 species
UGAAUUUUGACCCAUUUUGA